CAACAAACACUGAUCAUAAUAAUAACAAAAGUAAUAAUGUUGUACCUCGACAGCCGCCGUCAGGCCCGCAGUGGCUAUUCGGCGGGUUCGGGAGGUUUUCCCGCCGUUCGGGUAACGGUUCAGUACUUCCGUCAACAGAAAGACGCCCCGCUCUUUCCGGAAGUGGAGCACAGCGGGUUCCGGUCGCGGCGCACCCUGAGCAGAGACGCCCCGCGUGGCUCCCGCCGGCGGAGGAGAAUUCUUUAGUGAAGUGGCGCUAAUCUCCUUCAAGAUAAAGUCCCUCUGAGAUGACAAAAAGCGGGAAAAACUUUAACGGGGAUCAAGCGACCGGCGGUAAAAGAAGACAUGAAACAGUAAGCACCCACUGAAACGGUGAUGGUCUGUCAUAGUCUCCGAGCCUGAUGUGAAGGAAGAAAAAGAUUGACUGUAUAAUAGAACUGGACUGAGUGAGUCCUCCCCCUUGGCAUCCCAAACAGGAAGUACCCACUGGCUCCAAGAAGCUAAAACCCUGAUGAUCAGGGGUCUGCGGCUCCGGGACCACAUGUGAUUCUUUUACCCUCCAUUGUGGCUCUUUGGUUAAAAUAAAAUGUAAAAAAAAUAAAUAAAUUGAAAAUUAACUUCAAAGGAAAAAUUGAGUAAGUAGCAACAUUUAAAAAAAGUAAAUGAACUUAAACUUUAUUCAACUCAUUCACAUACCGUUGAAGGACAGAAUCAUUCAACGAGGAUCCUAAUAACGUUAGCCGUAAUUACCCAUCAAUCCUUUGAAGUUUAUCAAUGUCAAACUGACACAUUUGAACUUCGUUUAAGCUUCAUUUAUUACAGAAAAUCAAUUUAUUGUCAGUAACCAGAAUUAAGGCUACAUUAAGUUAUAAUCCCCUGGAUCACAAUGCACAUUUUCUAUGUUUGAUGAAAUUCAAGAUUUAAAGUGUUUUUAAUAUAUGGCAGUGGUCACUUCGUUACAUUUAGUUUUUGUUGGUUAUAUUUAUGUAUUUGUUUCUGAAAUGCUCCAGAAACAGUAAAAUAAACCGUUUUUUGAAUCAUCAUUCAUGACUUUACGCUUCCUGCUGCAUUGAUAUGAUCCCAUGGUGUAGGUUGUCUUUUAUUUUGAAAGGAAGUCAUGCAAGGCACUGUCAAAAGUUAUAAACUAUUUCAUAUUUAAAAAAAAAAA